CUACGUGCCAGCAGCCGCGGUAAUACGGAAGGUCCGGGCGUUAUCCGGAUUUAUUGGGUUUAAAGGGAGCGUAGGCCGGAGAUUAAGUGUGUUGUGAAAUGUAGACGCUCAACGUCUGACUUGCAGCGCAAACUGGUUUACUUGAGUACGCGCAACGCAGGCGGAAUUCGUCGUGUAGCGGUGAAAUGCUUAGAUAUGACGAAGAACUCCUAUUGCGAAGGCAGCUUGCGGGAGCGUUACUGACGCUGAAGCUCGAAAGUGCGGGUAUCGAACAGGAUUAGAUACCCUGGUAGUCCGCACGGUAAACGAUGGAUGCCCGUUUUUGGCUUGUUUUAAGCCAGAGACCAAGCGAAAGCAUUAAGCAUCCCACCUGGGGAGUACGCCGGCAACGGUGAAACUCAAAGGAAUUGACGGGGGCCCGCACAAGCGGAGGAACAUGUGGUUUAAUUCGAUGAUACGCGAGGAACCUUACCCGGGCUUGAAUUGCAGACGACGUAUUUAGAGAUAGAUAUUCA
rnacentral:rRNA from 1 species